GCGGGUAUGGCGGAAUUGGCAGACGCGCAGGAUUUAGGUUCCUGUGGAGCGAUCCGUGUGGGUUCGACCCCCACUACCCGUACCA
rnacentral:tRNA from 3 species